GACGAGGGAUCCUAGCGUUGUUCGGAAUCAUUGGGCGUAAAGGGUGCGUAGGUUGCCAUCCAAGUCAGUUGUGAAAUCCCCGGGCUCAACCCGGGAAGUGCUUCUGAUACUGUUGGCUUGAGUACUGGAGAGGAUAGUAGAAUUCCUGGUGUAGUGGUGAAAUACGUAGAUAUCAGGAGGAAUACCGGUGGCGAAGGCGGCUAUCUGGCCAUGUACUGACACUGAAGCACGAAAGCGUGGGGAGCAAACAGG
rnacentral:rRNA from 1 species